rnacentral:rRNA from 1 species
UACAGAGGGGGCAAGCGUUGUUCGGAAUUACUGGGCGUAAAGGGCGCGUAGGCGGCCUGUUAAGUCGAACGUGAAAUCCCCGGGCUCAACCCGGGAACUGCGUCCGAUACUGGCAGGCUUGAAUCCGGGAGAGGGAUGCGGAAUUCCAGGUGUAGCGGUGAAAUGCGUAGAUAUCGGGAGGAACACCAGUGGCGAAGGCGGCGACCUGGACAGAUAUUGACGCUGAGGUGCGAAAGCGUGGGGAGCAAACAGG